rnacentral:rRNA from 1 species
UACGUAGGAGGCGAGCGUUGUCCGGAAUUACUGGGCGUAAAGAGCGCGUAGGCGGCACGAUACGACCACGGUGAAAGCCCCCGGCUCAACUGGGAGGGUGCGCCGAAUACUGAGAGGCUAGAGUGUGGGAGAGGAAAGUGGAAUUCCUGGUGUAGCGGUGAAAUGCGUAGAUAUCGGAAGGAACACCUGUGGCGAAAGCGGCUCACUGGACCAUUACUGACGCUGAUGCACGAAAGCUAGGGGAGCAAACAGG